UCGCAAGAUGCAGGCAGGUGACAGGGGAACACUUGUCAUCACCUCUUGCCUGUCCCCCUGGUCCUAAGCCCACAGCGGGGAGGGAUCAAGGUGCUCUGGGGGAUGGGCUCAUUUUAUCUGCACUUCUCCAUAACUGCAAUCUUGGACUUGGAAGCACUUUUCUGGAGCCUGUUUCUUCUACUAGUCGGCGCUGGGAAAGGCUGGGGACGAUGUGCAAUAAGUCGUUCAAUCACCAACCAUUACCAAGGCCUCCUCUAUGCUGGGAUAGUGAGUCAGAAAGGCCCUGUCUUCAGGAGUUGCUGUCCAUCGAGGGAGCCAUCCUUAUACUGCUGGCCAGGGCUGGGACAAAGGCUCUGCAGAAGCAAGUUCACAUUCAUUGUGGUCACCAGCUUUCAUCAUGGUGUUAACAAAACACGUGGGGGGUGGUGCAGUGCCUCACAUCUGUAAUCCUUGAGCUCUGGGAGGCUGAGACAAGAGGAGCUUAGGAGUUUGGGACUAGUCUGUGAAAUAGAAAAAUUAGCUGGGUGUUGUGCCUGGCUCCCAUAGUCCCAGCUUCUUGGGAGGCUGAGGCAGGAGGAUCACUAGAACCCAGGAGUCUGAGGUUGCUGUGAACUGGGCUGAAGCCACAGCACUCUCACCUGGAGCAACAAAGUGAGACUCUGUCUCAAAACAAACAAACAAACAAACAAACAAACAGAAACAAAACAAAAUCCCAUUAAUCCCGUUAAUCCCCCUCCCUCCACCUACCUCCCCCCUCCCUCCCCUCCCUUUCCCUCUUCUCCCUAUUCUUAGGUUGUAACUGGGUUAUAGCUUUUAUGCAGUGCAUUUUACAAGGAUAUAUGUGAAUCUUAGUAAAUGUGGAAUGUAAAGGUCUUAGCAAAAUAACUAAGAAAAUGCCAGGAAGGCUAUGUUAACUAGUGUGAUGAAAAUGUGUCAAACGGUCUAUGAACCAAGUGUAUGGUGCCC